CUUAUGCCCAACUCCUCUGUGUUCUAUAUUUCAGUCCACACCUAUAUGCCCAAUCCUGAAUCUGUUCUUUACUUCCUGGUCACUGCUCUAUCUGCCUCACUGGAGGUCUGCUGCCACCCAGGACUACCAGACUUGAACUGAAACGUCAGGCAGACAUGGGCACAACACAGCUAUUGGUGGCAUGUAAGAAGAAAGAAGGAGUCAUUGGAACCAGAUUCACUCAGUUCUAAGAUCUCAAGAAAUAUACUGAACCUACUGGUACUCAGAGAAAUCCUAAUUCAUAGACUGCCUUCUCAGGAGGACCCCCCCCAUACCAAAGGCAUUGUGUAUGGAGCCUUCCCAGAAAGAGCCCUAAGAUAUAAAAUCUCUGAAAAAAAAAUCCCAGAUCAAAUUGUAACAGGUCAUUUCUACCUGGCCAUGCUUUAGUAAGCAAAUGAUUACAUGGCUCUGGAGAAAGGUGCUACAGA
rnacentral:lncRNA from 1 species